rnacentral:rRNA from 1 species
GAUGUGGUUAAUUCGAUGCAACGCGAAAACCUUACCACCUUGACAUGGCAGGAAUCCUAAAGAGAUUUGGAGUGCUCGAAGAGAACCUGCACACAGGUGCUGCAUGGCUGUCGUCAGCUCGUGUCGUGAGAUGUUGGGUUAAGUCCCGCAACGAGCGCAACCCUUGUCAUUAGUUGCCAUCAUUCAGUUGGGCACUCUAAUGAGACUGCCGGUGACAAACCGGAGGAAGGUGGGGAUGACGUCAAGUCCUCAUGGCCCUUAUGGGUAGGGCUUCACACGUCAUACAAUGGUCGGUACAGAGGGUUGCCAAGCCGCGAGGUGGAGCCAAUCCCAGAAAGCCGAUCGUAGUCCGGAUUGCAGUCUGCAACUCGACUGCAUGAAGUCGGAAUCGCUAGUAAUCGCGGAUCAGCAUGUCGCGGUGAAUACGUUCCCGGGCCUU